AUUGCCCCAGUAACGGCGAGUGAAGCGGCAAAAGCUCAAAUUUGAAAUCUGGCUCUCUAUGGGAGUCCGAGUUGUAAUUUGUAGAGGGCGCUUUGGCGUCGGCAGCGGUCUAAGUUCCUUGGAACAGGACGUCACAGAGGGUGAGAAUCCCGUACGUGGUCGCCUGCCUUCGCCGUGUAAAGCCCCUUCGACGAGUCGAGUUGUUUGGGAAUGCAGCUCUAAAUGGGAGGUAAAUUUCUCCUAAAGCUAAAUACUGGCCAGAGACCGAUAGCGCACAAGUAGAGUGAUCGAAAGAUGAAAAGCACUUUGGAAAGAGAGUCAAAUAGCACGUGAAAUUGUUGAAAGGGAAGCGCUUGCAGCCAGACGUGCCCGCGGUUGUUCUCUUCCGUGGGCAGGCCAGCAUCAGUUUGGGCGGUCGGAUAAAGGCCUCUGUCACGUAUCUCCCUUCGGGGAGACCUUAUAGGGGAGGCGUAAUGCGAUCAGCCCGGACUGAGGUCCGCGCAUCUGCUAGGAUGCUGGCGUAAUGGCUGUAAGCGGCCCGUCUUGAAACACGGACCAAGGAGUCUAACAUCUAUGCGAGUGUUUGGGUGUCAAGCCCGGGCGCGCAAUGAAAGUGAACGGAGGUGGGAACCCUCUUGGGGGUGCACCAUCGACCGAUCCUGAAGUCUUCGGAUGGAUUUGAGUAAGAGCAUGGCUGUUGGGACCCGAAAGAUGGUGAACUAUGCUUGAAUAGGGUGAAGCCAGAGGAAACUCUGGUGGAGGCUCGCAGCGGUUCUGACGUGCAAAUCGAUCGUCAAAUUUGGGCAUAGGGGCGAAAGACUAAUCGAACUAUC
rnacentral:rRNA from 1 species